ACGAGUCUAAUAAUCUAUCGUUGCUAAUGGCUUCCAUGUGAGUAGCACAUGACUGUGGGGUGGUGGGUGAGAAACUGAAUUUCGGUUAUUAUAGCUGCGUUUGUAAGAAAUAUGUUAGAACGAUUAUAGCUUGGUUUCGCGUCAAUCAUUUGGACCGUCAUGUGAAAAAAAUUUAUGUGAAUCAACUUUCAUUAGAUCGUAUCAAGGGUACUUUCGUUCAUUAUUUAAAAAAUGUGUAUGUAUGUGGUAAUUCUCGUUACCAGGUUCUAUUGAGCUCAGAAACGUUCCGGACCUCGAUUUAAACUAACUUGGUGUCACAGUGUCCUGCUUAGUUGGGAAAAUGUUUACUGAUCUUCCGCCAACUUCAUUUCAAAUCCAUGGGUUAUUCGUUUAAAGGAGUUGUAAUUGCUGGCUGUUGCUAAAGAAGAAGCCUAGCAAUGAAAGUUCGAAAGAAGUUUCUAAAGAAAGCAAUACCAGGAACAAAAAAGAAGCUGCUCUGUAUCUGAUGGAAACAAAAUGGUGGUCAGAGAAUGAGUAUUGAUUACUGUCUCAUUUUUUUGCAACACCAACAUCUGUUUUGUUAACAUCUGGAGUACACUUAAUUACUAGUGGUGUUCCCAACAUGAAUUAUAGAAACGUUCAUUAGCGGUAUGAAAACUCAAAGCCACUGCCAGGAGACGUUUUUGCAUUUAGAGUACGUGUCGAUUCGAUCACAGCUCAAACAUGCGACGAGGAUGGAUCGAUUCCUGACCCAGAUACCAGUGUUUCCUCUGGCCAUACUUUUCUGCUUGAAUUCCUGAACAGGAAAAUGUUUAGGGUAACUGGCUACAAAAGCUCAUGUAUUUACUAAUUUAUCUGACACAGUUUUAUCUAAUAACUGACUGGAAAGCUGCAGAAUUGAAGAAUUCUUCCUACACUUUGUCAGCGGCCUAUGCUAAAAUGAAGCCUAAUAUCAGUGCGUUCUCUCUCGAAGAAUGACAAGUACGUAUCAAAUGAAACCCAGUUGUUCACAAUAACAUUAUUCUAAAACUUCGCGUAGUCCAGCAUCAUCGGUUGAUUUAUUAGUUGAAAUUCCUCUAAAACUUCAGACGUAUUCUACAGUUUAAGCGUUGGCAGGCAUCGCCUCCGAAGUUUGAAUGUGCCUAAAUUGAUUGUCCCACGAAAACAUUAAGAUGGUUUCUCAGCGUGUUAAAGAUGUCGCAAGUUAAAUCUUCUGCUUCAAUCAACAUUCAUUGAAAAACCGGCAGUUGUUGUGCAGCAAAUAUCAGAAACCAAUUAGCUGUGUAUUAUACGUUUUCGGGGGAUGACUUUGAUUAGCAACCUUUUAAGGAAAAAACGAAAAAAAAACAUGGAGCGUCGAGUUCUAGUUCUACUGGAAAUCGCGUGCCGAAAGAAAAUGGUGGAAAAUCAGAUAUUAUUGCAGUAAAUAAUUUCAAGCUGAAGAAUACGUUUCAAAUUCGCUUUUCGAACUUUCUCUAGUCUAUUUUCGAAAACCCCCCACAUCCUGGCGCUGUCCUCAAAUACCUCGUUACAAGGGAAAAAAUAGUAAUACGAAAUGUUCAGCUAUUCAAGUCAUGAAGAUUCCCUCAUUGGAAACAAAUUUUAAAUCUUGCAGCUUCCAGUUUUUGUCUUUAUUUUCCUACUUCUCCUCUUGUUAAGGGACAACCAAACUUGAUCUUGUUCUUGUGAUGGAUUUGGAUUAUUGGUAAGUUAUGCUUUUAUUCUCGCAAACUGUUUAUUAUACUGUUGUGGAACCUGCUUUUCAACAUUUUCUAAUAUAGCAGUUUGGCAAAAGUUAUUCCUUACCUGCACGAAUCUAGUUAACCAGGACCCAUUUAAUGCUUAUUCGCCGUGCCAAAAUUUGUAUCAUUGACAUGUUUUCAAAGUAGAGCAAGAUUUUCAAUUAGAUUAAUUUUUUCACUUUUCUUUUUUGGCAUUGUUGCAAUGAAUCAAACGCAAAAACUCGCUGAUUGUCACUGUGAUGAAUGUAGAGGUUAUAACUUAGAAUAAGGACUGUGCAGGUGCAGGAUGCAGUUAUAGUGUAGCUUUUGUCGUGAGGUAACUACAUAUCAAUAUUGAUUAAUUUUUUUACAAAUUUAAAGAGAAAGCAUAUUACCUAAGAGGUAAUCCAAAAUCAACAUACUGAUAAGACAAGAAGGGCAUGACCUGGAAGAGAAAGUUUACUACAUCUGCCCUACUUCAGAUGCCAUUAUAUUUAUAGUGCAAGUAUUUGAAAAACCUUGUUAAUUACUUCUUAGUUAAAAAAAAAACUUAUACUUUCUAAAAGUGGCCAUCAAUUUUUGUGAGAAAUGGCACCAUUCAUUGACAUUACAGAGGUCAUCAUUUGAGUAGAGAAAAAAAAAAUAAUUGUAAUAUAUAUCAUUUGACUUUUUAUAGACUGAGGAGGAAUCCCACUUCAUCAAACAGUUGUCCUUUCCAGUAAAUACAAAUCUUUAUUGCAUUUGCUAUUAUAAUAACAAAUCUGUACAACAGAAAUUCAGGUGAAGAAGGGAUACUAGCUUAACAAUCAAAUACAAACAGAAAAACUGGAAGAUGUAAAGAAGGAAGAGUCAGCAAAGAAAGCAAAAUAACAGGACAGGAAAAAAAAUGAAUCUACCCCAAAUACCCCCAUUGUGGUGAAUGAAUUGUUUGUUAGCUUGCUGAUAACUGCAGCAAAUAUGACUUUCGUCGAGGAAAACCACGUCAGCAGUGCCAGUACCGAGUCUGUAUCACUUUUGGCCCCAAGAAAAAGGUUGAGACAGUAGCGGAAGUGGAGGAAAUAGCCGUAAAACUGGGCUUGAGAAUCUCGAGCACGCAAUAAGCAAACGGUAUUUACGCAGAUUAUCUUGCACGCAAAGAUAAUUAGUCAAAUAUAAUUAUAUUGCCUUAACAUAAUUUAACCUUACCAUUCGCUUGAAACAAUAUUUGGUCAUCCACUGUUACGGACCACAAUGUAAAAAUACGUCGCGUCCGAGAAGUAAGUAUUGCAGUGACCGAUGCGGGCUAAAAUUGGUUUACUGAAGCAUUGUAGAGAUCCUAAGAAGGUUAUCCUUCGAAUUUGUUGCUGGAGCCACGUGUUGAAAAUUUGAAAUCCGUUGUCGUCUAUUUGGUUCAAUGACACUGAUGUAUGCGAGUAUCCUUUAGUACAGGAAGUCUUUGAAGAGACUGAAGAAUCCUGUUUUAUUAAAAAAAAAAAAAAGUGUCAAGCAUAACAACUGGGAGAAACUUGGAAAGCCAAAAUUAAUAUGGAAAGAGUACGCCAGUGGCUUAAACUUGAUGAGUUGUUCGGGAAAAAAAACGACAGUUUUGGAUUGCCAUGGUUCAGCGAGCUGGACUUUUACCAUUUAUACUUCAUUCAGCUUUCAACCAUGAAUUGAUGCAGCAACAAUACUCCGGACACAAUGACGCCACUGUAGAAACCGACGAGAUCAUUGCAACCAAUAAAAAUGGCAUCAUAGAAGACCAUUUCACGUGCUUUUUUUUUGCUAUUUUAUACGACUGUCAAUUCAUUCUCUGGUGUAAUGUGUCUCUUGACUUUGUCUACUUCCUUCUGAUUGAUGUUAAGCAAUUCUUUUUACAACUCUCAUAUGUUCUAAAUUAGGAUAAUAGAUGGCGCUGUUGUUGCGCCUAUGUCUUUGUUUUGUAAUAUAACCAAGUGCGACAAGUGAAUGCCGUGUCCGAAUAUUUGUUAACUGUGUUACUUUUCAAUAAUAAGUUCGAUACAAUUAAAUGGUGUACUUUCUACUUUUGAGAGUUUUCAUUCUUGUGUGUGUUUUUGAAGUGAAGUAAAUCAAAUGGAUUAUUUUUUGUGCAACAGGUAAACUUGUGAUCAGCUAUGUCAGCUGCCAAAUCCAAAACUGUUUGCUACCUAUGGCUUUUGCAUUCCCUCAUGCUUUGCUCAUUGAGAGAAUUAGCUUGUGAAACCUGAAUUGCAAAGGAUGCCGACUGGAGAAAAUGACACAUAUCAUAGGGGUUGGAAUACCAUCAUCUCAUUCUGCUACUCUUUAUCCAUUCAUCAUGUUCUGUCAGUUAUGAUCUGACAAGUGCAGCAUAUGUUGUGUUGCAAACCAUUAACCAUAACCAUUUCAACAAUCUUCUCGUCAUUUCUACUGAGCCUAUUAAGUAGCAGGAUUUUGUGUUGAGAGCUCGUGGAACUAAAAGGGAAAAAGGAUACUGGCCUUGAAGGAAGAUCACCAACGAUGCAAAAUUAAUGGAUUGGAAUACCUCAUGUAAUUCUUAUACUCUUGGCCCACACAUCAUCUCAUCCUCCUUUUCUUUCUACUUUGACAGUCAACAAAUGAUUUCGCCUCGCCCGUCGCCCCGUCUUCGCCUCGCCCGUCGCCCCGUCUUCGCCUCGCCCGUCGCCCCGUCUUCGCCUCGCCCGUCGCCCCGUCUUUGCUUCGUCCGUCGCCCCGUCUUCGCUUCGUCCAUCACCCCGUCUUCGCCUUGUGGUCGCCUUGUCAUCGUGGUAUCUUUGUAUUUUGUAAUGUUUAGUGCUAAUUAACCCGUUGGCUGCCACCCACUUUGAUCCCCUUUUUUUUUAAAGCUUGUUAGGGUCCGGCAGCGCUGUUCUGCCCAAUGGUCUAUAUGCCAUGGGUGGGACAGUUGCACAAGCCGUGUGGCUCAAAGUCGAUCGUCGAGGCAAUGUACCAGUAGGGACUUUCCCUUUUUCGAUGCUUUGAUGGUUGCCUGGAGUGUACAUUCUCACAAAGGCUUCUGUCAUCGUGUCAGCCCGGAUUUGUCGUAGGACAAGUCCCCCUUGGUCGCUAUCCAUUCGAUAGCGAUGUAGCUAGCGUAGAUUUAGUGGCGUGGCAGCCAACGGGUUAGUUUUAUGUAUGUGUGUUUUGUAUUGUAUUGUAUUUAAAAUCUAAAAUCUUGUGGUGGAUUUGUGGGUGGAUGGAGGGACAAUAAA